rnacentral:lncRNA from 1 species
GAUCAAUGAUAGUAGCUUGGUUUAGCUGAGGAGAAACAUCUUUGGUUCUCUGAACAGAAUCCCAAGAGUCUGACUUGUUCUUGCAUUCAAUAUCAUAGCCGGUGAUAGGGCUGUUUCCAUCAAAUCCCAUGGUCCAUCUGAGGGCAAUGCUGCGUGCUCUCACCUCUCGGAUUUCUAUCUCAGGAGGGUCAGGGGGUUCUUGCACAGUGAGCUGAAUUAUUC